CACCCCCACCCCCACCUCCUUUUACUAAUGCUCCACCACCCCCACCCCCACCUCCUUUUACUAAUGCUCCACCAAGAACACCUUUAAAUAAAGCUCCACCUGCACCUCCGCCGCCUUCUUACACUAGUGCUCCAACGGCACCACCCCCACCUCCUCCACCCCCUUUUAGUACAAGUCAGUCUCCAUCGCCUCUUUUUAGUAGAGCUCCACCACCACCACCACCCCUUCCUUCAUCAAGUGGAAGACCACCUCCACCUCCACCUCCUCCAAUGUCUAGAGCCCCUCCACCUCCACCCUUUCCUGGAGCACCUCCACCACCUCCACCACCACCUCCUGGUGGUGGUCGAGGCCCACCCGCUCCCCCUCCUCCUGGUGGUCGAGGCCCACCUCCUCCCCCUCCUCCUGGUGGUCGAGGCCCGCCUCCUCCCCCUCCUCCUGGUGGUCGAGGCCCGCCUCCUCCCCCUCCUCCUGGUGGUCGAGGCCCACCUCCUCCACCUUUUCCUGGGGCUCCUCCUCCUCCUGGUGGUGCACCUCCACCACCUCCACCCUUGGGUUCUAAAGGGGCAAAUGUUGGAGUUGAUCCAAGAGGGAGAGGGCGUGGAUAUGCACGUCCUGGUGCAGUGGCACCCCGACGAUCCUCCUUAAAGCCUUUGCAUUGGAGUAAGGUUACAAGGGCACUACAAGGAAGUUUAUGGGAAGAAUUACAAAGACACGGAGAACCGCAAAUUGCACCAGAGUUUGAUGUUUCGGAGCUAGAGAAGCUUUUCUCUGCAAAUGUUCCAAAACCUACCGAUUCAAGUAAAUCUGGAGGGAGGCGCAAGUCUGCUGGAUCUAAACCUGACAAAGUCCACUUGAUCGACCUAAGGAGAGCCAAUAAUACGGAAAUCAUGCUAACGAAGGUUAAGAUGCCACUCCCUGAUAUGAUGGCUGCAGUACUGGCUAUGGAUGAGUCGGUAUUAGAUGUUGAUCAGGUGGAAAAUCUCAUUAAAUUUUGUCCUACCAAAGAGGAAAUGGAACUUUUGAAGGCAUACACUGGUGACAAGGAUAAUCUGGGGAAGUGUGAACAGUUUUUUUUGGAGUUGAUGAAGGUGCCAAGGGUGGAGUCAAAAUUAAGAGUAUUCGCUUUUAAAAUUCAGUUUCAGUCUCAGGUUACGGAAUUUAGGAAGAGUUUAAACACUGUGAACUCUGCCUGUGAAGAGGUCCGGAAAUCAUACAAACUGAAGGACAUCAUGAAGAAAAUUCUUUUUUUGGGUAAUACAUUGAAUCAGGGAACGGCAAGAGGAUCUGCAGUCGGAUUUAAGUUGGAUAGCCUUUUAAAGCUCACUGACACUCGUGCUACAAACAAUAAGAUGACACUGAUGCAUUAUCUUUGCAAGGUGCUAGCUGAAAGGUCGCCUGGACUCCUUGAUUUUCACAAAGACCUUGUUAGUCUGGAAGGUUCCACUAAGAUACAAUUGAAAUCAUUAGCAGAAGAAAUGCAGGCAAUCACCAAGGGAUUAGAAAAGGUUAAACAAGAGCUUGCUGCAUCUGAAAAUGAUGGACCUGUGUCUGAAGUUUUCUACAUUGAAAGGAUUCAUAACUGUAGCUGAGUCAGAUGUAGCAGAUCUAUUAAAAUUAUAUUCUAUGGUGGGUAAAAAUGCAGAUGCCCUUGCACUGUAUUUUGGCGAGGAUCCUGCAAGAUGCCCAUGUGAGCAAGUUACUGCAACUCUAUUAAAUUUUAUAAGAUUGUUCCGGAAAGCACAUGAAGAGAAUUGCAAACAAGCAGAGUUAGAGAAGAAGAAAGCUGAGAAAGAGGCUGAAAUGGAGAAAGGCAAAGGGCGUUAACUUAACACGGAAGAGUGCAGAAGACAGUUGAUGACUGGGUUUUCUGCUCCUUUGCACCGACAGCCUGCUCUCACCGAAGAGCCGGAAUCUAUCCAUGCGAGAGGAAUGCAUCUGAAGCUAGUUGUGACUUAAGAAGCUUCUGUUUCCACGUUGAUCAUGAUGUGAAAAUGAGCCUUUCAAGCUUAUCUAUUGAAGGUGGAAUUGCAAAUUCAUGCCACAUGAGGACCUUUGAACGUACACCAAGCUAAGGAGUUGAUUCUUUGAUGGCAUGCUGUUGAAUCGGAUCCGCCCGUAUGGCCGAUUGAUCCUUUUUGUCAGAAGAGUUGUUUUGAGUUUAUUCCAAAUGUUUCAUUAGAUUGCUGGAUCUUUCCCGUGGAGGAAACUACAACACAUUGUGAUGGAUGCUUACUGUGAUUGCUCAAGAUAUCAUCUGCGUCCUCCAAUGAAUGAACCAGUCCACGUCAGGUUGGUUCAAGAAAUUUCUUUUGCAGCAGAGCAUGCUUGCUGUAGAACUGGCAUUGGCAUGCAUCGUUCAUUUGCCAUAUUUUAUACAGCACCAGCGCAGAAGCUUUUUGGACUUUCGAAGCCCUGCAACCGUAGCAGUACCAUGGAACUUUUGUACAAAGAACUAAUCCUUCCCUUUAGGAUCCAAUUCUUUCUCAUCUAACAUAGAAAUUAGUUUCCUUUAUUAUGGAGAUUUUGGUAGAAAAUGUUGUAUAGCUGUCAGGUUAAGAGAAAAUAGAAAUUAGGUCACUGUAUUGUAACUGUAAUAUAAGUGAAGAGAAAGUCUAAUUAGAAAUGCAAAGCUAAGUUUAAUUUUUCGUGUGAAAUAAUACAAUCAUCAAGUGUAAAAGGUUCUUGUAACAUUCUGUUGUACACAAAAAGAAAAUCUUUAUUUGCAUA